rnacentral:rRNA from 1 species
UACGUAGGGUGCAAGCGUUAUCCGGAAUCAUUGGGCGUAAAGAGCGUGUAGGCGGUCCGGUAAGUCCGCUGUGAAAGUCGGGGGCUCAACCCUCGAAUGCCGGUGGAUACUGUCGAGCUAGAGUGCGGAAGAGGCGAGUGGAAUUCCUGGUGUAGCGGUGAAAUGCGCAGAUAUCAGGAGGAACACCUAUUGCGAAGGCAGCUCGCUGGGACGUAACUGACGCUGAGACGCGAAAGCGUGGGGAGCAAACAGG